GAUGAACGCUGGCGGCGUGCCUAAUACAUGCAAGUCGAGCGAACGGACGAGAAGCUUGCUUCUCUGAUGUUAGCGGCGGACGGGUGAGUAACACGUGGAUAACCUACCUAUAAGACUGGGAUAACUUCGGGAAACCGUAGCUAAUACCGGAUAAUAUUUUGAACCGCAUGGUUCAAAAGUGAAAGACGGUCUUGCUGUCACUUAUAGAUGGAUCCGCGCUGCAUUAGCUAGUUGGUAAGGUAACGGCUUACCAAGGCAACGAUGCAUAGCCGACCUGAGAGGGUGAUCGGCCACACUGGAACUGAGACACGGUCCAGACUCCUACGGGAGGCAGCAGUAGGGAAUCUUCCGCAAUGGGCGAAAGCCUGGCGGAGCAACGCCGCGUGAGUGACGAAGGUCUUCGGAUCGUAAAACUCUGUUAUUAGGGAAGAACAUAUGUGUAAGUAACUGUGCACAUCUUGACGGUACCUAAUCAGAAAGCCACGGCUAACUACGUG
rnacentral:rRNA from 1 species